rnacentral:rRNA from 1 species
GACGAACGCUGGCGGCGCGCCUAACACAUGCAAGUCGAACGAGCGAGAGGAGGUUUACUUUCUCAAGCGAGUGGCGAACGGGUGAGUAACGCGUGAGGAACAUGCCUCAAAGAGGGGGACAACAGUUGGAAACGACUGCUAAUACCGCAUAAGCCCACGACCCGGCAACGGGUAGAGGGAAAAGGAGCAAUCCGCUUUGAGAUGGCCUCGCGUCCGAUUAGCUAGUUGGUGAGGUAAUGGUCCACCAAGGCGACGAUCGGUAGCCGGACAGAGAGGUUGAACGGCCACUCUGGGAAUGGGACACAGCCCAGACUCCUACGGGAGGCAGCAGUGGGGAAUAUUGCACAAUGGGGGGAAUCAUGAUGCCGCUACGCCCGGUGGAGGAAGAAGGUCUUCGGAUUGUAAACUCCUAUUAUGGAGGAAGAUAAUGACGGUACUCAACAAGGAAGUGACGGCUAACUACGUG